rnacentral:ncRNA from 1 species
ACUUGAAGACACGGGAGUCCCGGCGAUUGCGGGGCUGAGAGUGGGCACAGCCGGUGCGACCGGAGCUGCCCUUACCGUCACACCUGAUCCGGGUCAUGCCGGCGAAGGGAGCUGAGAAUGGCUUCUG